rnacentral:rRNA from 1 species
UGGGGAAUAUUGGACAAUGGGCGCAAGCCUGAUCCAGCCAUACCGCGUGGGUGAAGAAGGCCUUCGGGUUGUAAAGCCCUUUUGUUUGGAAAGAAAAGCAGCCGGUUAAUACCCGGUUGUUCUGACGGUACCCAAAGAAUAAGCACCGGCUAACUUCGUGCCAGCAGCCGCGGUAAUACGAAGGGUGCAAGCGUUACUCGGAAUUACUGGGCGUAAAGCGUGCGUAGGUGGUUGUUUAAGUCUGUUGUGAAAGCCCUGGGCUCAACCUGGGAAUUGCAGUGGAUACUAGGCGACUAGAGUGUGGUAGAGGGUAGUAGAAUUCCUGGUGUAUCAGUGAAAUGCGUAGAGAUCAGGAGGAACAUCCAUAGCGAAGGCAGCUACCUGGACAAACACUGACACUGAGGCACGAAAGCGUGGGGUGCAAACAGU